AGAGUUUGAUCCUGGCUCAGAUUGAACGCUGGCGGAAUGCUUUACACAUGCAAGUCGAACGGCAGCACGGGAGCUUGCUCCUGGUGGCGAGUGGCGAACGGGUGAGUAAUGCGUCGGAACGUGCCCAGUAGUGGGGGAUAGCCCGGCGAAAGCCGGAUUAAUACCGCAUACGACCUACGGGUGAAAGCGGGGGAUCGCAAGACCUCGCGCUAUUGGAGCGGCCGAUGUCAGAUUAGGUAGUUGGUGAGGUAAAGGCUCACCAAGCCUUCGAUCUGUAGCUGGUCUGAGAGGACGACCAGCCACACUGGGACUGAGACACGGCCCAGACUCCUACGGGAGGCAGCAGUGGGGAAUUUUGGACAAUGGGCGAAAGCCUGAUCCAGCCAUUCCGCGUGAGUGAAGAAGGCCUUCGGGUUGUAAAGCUCUUUCGGCAGGAAAGAAAUCGUUGCUCCUAAUACGAGUAAUGGAUGACGGUACCUGAAGAAGAAGCACCGGCUAACUACGUGCCAGCAGCCGCGGUAAUACGUAGGGUGCGAGCGUUAAUCGGAAUUACUGGGCGUAAAGCGUGCGCAGGCGGUUUUGUAAGUCAGAUGUGAAAGCCCCGGGCUCAACCUGGGAAUGGCGUUUGAAACUGCAAGGCUAGAGUGUGUCAGAGGGGGGUAGAAUUCCACGUGUAGCAGUGAAAUGCGUAGAGAUGUGGAGGAAUACCGAUGGCGAAGGCAGCCCCCUGGGAUAACACUGACGCUCAUGCACGAAAGCGUGGGGAGCAAACAGGAUUAGAUACCCUGGUAGUCCACGCCCUAAACGAUGUCAACUAGUUGUCGGGAGGGUAACCCUCUUGGUAACGCAGCUAACGCGUGAAGUUGACCGCCUGGGGAGUACGGUCGCAAGAUUAAAACUCAAAGGAAUUGACGG
rnacentral:rRNA from 1 species